ACUACAGAAAUAUAUGUAGCAUUUGGUUUGUGUUGGCACAUUAGUUUAUCCAGUAUGAUCAUAGACAUAUAUGAAAAGUUUACAGUAUUGUAAUUGGCUGUUAAUCUCUUUGGGCUAAAUUGAUUGGUUGUGAUCAAAUGGUCACAAGACCAGAGGAGGUUUAAAAAGGGAGAAAUAUUGCUGCACUUCUAUCAGAGACUUCAUUUGGUAUUGACCUCAAGCAGACCAACACAGCAACAUUUAUAAUACACAGUCUGAUUGAUCAGAGCAGACGAGAUGAACCUUGUUCUCCUGAUCACCAUCACGUUCACUCUUGCCCUUGUUCAUGGGAACAAUAUGCCUUGUGUGUAUAACCCUGACAACAAUGCUUACAACAGAUUUGUUUGGAAACACAUCAUUAAACAGCCCUUUAACAGAAACUCUAAGAGUGACUGGCAAAUGUACAUAAGGAACCGUGGACUCUGCGGCAGACCUUACCAGUCCUUCUUCGAGCCCUGGGAUCAAGGACAUAUUGUGCAGAUCUGUCAAGGCUAUGGCCGCCCACUGUUAAAUCCUAGCGUAGGUAACUUAUGCAUCAGUCCCUAUAUGCUGCCAAUUUAUUAUGUUGAGGUUGACAACAAUUGCGUAGUUAAAAAUUUAUUUUAUUACAUGAAUCAUGUUAUUGUGGCUUGUGAUAGGAUUGCAAACCAGUGCCUUCCUGUCCAUUUUGAGAGCUACAUCGGCCAAAUCCCAGACAUGAGUGCUAAUCCCUGCAUGUAAAUGCUGCUUAGAAUAGGCCACAUUUUUGGAGGUUAGUAGACAUUGGAUUCCAGAUGUCGGGCCCAUUAUUGGCCUGACAUCUAAAACCUCUGUCGAGCCUAAACGACGCCUUUUUUGCUUACAUAAGAAAACAUUGGUAUGUAAUUUAAAGCUACAUUAUAUUCUCUGUUACAUAUUUGUUUGUACCAUGUUGUGGGAUGAGCAUGAUUUAAAGAAACAUGUGCCAUGCAGGAACGGAAACAUUACAUUUCUAAAUACCAUGGAGGAGAUGAGUUAGAGUAUUAUAUUAAACACAUUUUCAACUCAUUUCCAGCUAAAGCUUCUUUCUUCUUUCAAAAACUUUCUUGAACCCUAAUGGGUGCAUUAAAUGUUUGUAUCCUUUUCUUUGAUGAGUUCAAUUCAUAAUGCCACUCUGUGUAAUCCUCUUACUGUCAAACUAAUGUUC